GAGCAGGGGGCAGGGGGUUGGGGGAGAGGAGAACCCAGAGGAGGGGAGAGGGAGCCAGGGAGGGGAAGGCAGCCAGAUGACAGCCGAGGAGGAAGGGUGCCCUCCCCCCAAAUACAGAAGCAAGUAUCUAUGACCCCAGCUGGCCAACGACCAUCCCAAGGACUCAGAAAUUCAGGUGAGUUCAGAACCCGCUUUCCCUCCCGGGUCUGGGACUCGGGGUGGUCCAAUUUCCUCUCUAUGUGUACCUCAGAAAAAUCAUCAGAAUGAGGGCCCAGGAAACAGAAGUGGACUUGAGGCGGCCUGACAGCAGUGAGUUGAUGGAAGAGGAUACCCCCCAGAGGCUGCUCCCCUUCCAGGCCCCAGCCCUCGCCUGGACCCCAGCUCUCCCCCACCCCACGGUCAGGAAGCCCGCCUCGCCCUGUUUGCCCCACCCUGGGACAGACCCUGCAGGCAAACAGGGGCUUCUGGGGACCCUCCCCGCAGAGUCCCCACCCAAAGGCCUCUCCCUCCCCGAGGCGGGGGAGGGCGGGUCCCGAGAUCUCAGGCCUUGAUCCCUUUGCCAUAGGCACGACUUCCUGGCCACCCCCUCUGCCUUCGACUGCCACCCCCUCAUCCCCUCAACAUUCCACAGCCCCCCCCCGCCAGCAGAAGGCACUGCUGCCCCACCAUCCCUGCGGUGGAAACCUCCCUAUCAUGCCGUGGCCUUUGCUCACUGCCACACGCCACCGGGCAUCCUCUACCCCCACAGGGGUGCCUUUCCCAGAAGCAUCUGGGCUGUCAGACCGCACAGAGCCACGUGGGGACAGGACCGGGCGCCGGCUGCCUUGGUGGGGCCUCUGCUGCCCUCCCGUGGGCUGCAGGCAAGAGAGCCCCUGGCCCGUGGCAUCAAAGGUGUCGCCUCCUCUCCUUGCCUCCUGGGGGUAGCACCCAGGGGCCUCCUUUCCUCUGUGGAUAUAAGACGGUUCAGUGUAAGGACAGUGCUCAGAACAACGCCUGGUCCUUAGGGAGAGCUCGAUAUAUGUUAAUAUCACCCUCUAAAUUAAUCCUCAUAGCAUCCCUGUGAGGUCAGCAUUAUGCGCCUACUUAACUGGUGGGGAAACCGAGGCAGAGAGAGGCGAAGCCACUGCCCCGAGUUUAGCAGCACUAACCGGCUGAUCAGGGAUUUGAACCCAAGUCUAUUGGAAGCUGUGCUUUCCAGGCUUUCCAGUCUGCGCUGGUUUGGCAGCCGGCUUUGGACACACACACACACACACANACACACAUUCAUACACACACACACACACACACAUUCAUACACACCCUGUACCCCCACCCCGCGGGAGGGGAUGAGAGGCUGCACCCCACCAAGAGGAGGAGGCGGAGCCUUUCUGAGGCACCAGCCUCCUGUUCGGGCUCCAGAGCAGCACGCGCGCCACCUGGUGGCCAUGAUAGGUAAAUGCCACCUCGGUCCCAGUCUACCCCUCCCUGCCCGCAGCCUGGCGCUUCCUGUGGCCCCUGGGGCUAAGGUGUGUGCUGAGGCUGCAGAGCUGAUUCUGCAGAGCUGUUGCGUCCCAGGUUAGGCCCCCAAACCAGGGCAGACUGGAAAGCCCCAGGCCUGGUGGCUGAGAGCACAGCUUCCAAUAGACUUGGGUUCAAAUCCCUGACCAGUGGGCUAAACUCAGGACACGGAAGUCGGUUUCCUUUCCACUGAGCUUCCUCCAGGGAUGGAGAAAUGAGCCAUCCCCGUGUUGCUGUGCUUGGGCUGCUGGUGGUUUGGGACAGGUGUUGCAGCAGAAAGUUCAUUUUGCUGAAAAUACAUCGUAUAUUUCCCCCAAAUGCCUAUUCUAGUUAAUAUUCUUUUUCUUUUUUGGCUGCACCUGAGACAUGCAGAAGUUCCCAAGCCAGAGAUCAAACCUGCACCACAGGAGUGACCUGAGCCACUGCAGUGACAAGGCUGGAUCCUUAACCUGCUGCAUCAAAAGAGAACUCCCCUAUUCUUUUCCUGAUUCCUUUAUGUAAGUGACAGGUUAUUCCAGAGGCGCUUUCCCCACUUAGCCUGGUGCUGGCGGCUCAACCCAGCUCUUCCUCCUCCUCCAAGCUCGCUCUGCUCCUGGGUCUGGGGGCGCCCGGCUGCAUCUCCCUCCCAGGCUUUCCUCCCAAGCUGCCGCACUGGCUCUUCAGCAGCCUGGAGGCCUACCCCACCAGGGCACGUGGCGGUCCCCUCCAAGGGACCUGCCUCCAAUGUGACUUCCUACCUACCUGCUCCCAUGGUUGUAAGCAAUCCUCAUCCAGUUAACUCACUCAGGUUUAACUACAAUUUCCACAGCACAGGUGAAAGUUGGGGGUGCAGGGAGGGGUCUGAGGAUUUGGACAACCUGGAGCCGGAAGCCAGACCCCGGCUGACUUGGUCCAGAAGCUGCAGGGGCCCAUGGGGCUGGAUGGCUCAGGAGGACGGUUGGGGGCAGGAUGGGACCUAACAUGCAACGGGAAAUGAAGAUUUCCAGAUGACUUUUCACGUGGGCAGUAAACCAAGCAUCGGGCCCCUUGGAGCACCUGGGUCAGGUCGGACAGGAGGUGAAGGAAGCCAGGCGGGACUGUGGCUCUGGGCCUCUUCAGCCAGGUCCAGGGUAGGUUGUAGGAGAUGUGCCUGCUGCCUUCCCACAAGGUGACCCCCUCCCCAGCCUCCCAGGGGCCCCUUGUUGAGAGUAGAAAGGCCCCUUGGGUCCUGAGAGCCAGAAAGCAGGGGCGACAGAGAGGGGGCACUGCUGCUUUCUCUCCUUUGACCAGAUCCCUCCUCCCUGUCAAUCCUCGUCUCUGACCUCAAAAUCCCCAGAUAGGAGCUCCCGUCAUGGCUCAGCGGAAAUCCAUGAGGACACAGGUUCGAUUCCUGGCCUCCCUCAGUGGGUUAAGGAUCUGGCGUGGCCAUGAGCUGUGGUGUAGAUUGCAGAUGCGGUUCGAAUCUGGUGUUGCUGUGACUGUGGUGUAGGCUGAUAGCUGUAGCUCUGAUUCAACCCCUAGCCUGGGAACCUCUAUAUGCCAAGGGGGUGGCCCUAAAAAGCAGAAAAAUAAAAUAAAAUAAAAUUAAAUUAAAAAAUAAAAUAAAAUAAAAUAGGGAGUUCCCGCCAUGGCUCAGUGGAAACAAAUCUGACUAGCAUCCAUGAGGAUGCAGGUUCGAUCCCUUGCCUUGCUCAGCGGGUUAAGGAUUCGGCACUGCCCUGUGCUGUGGUGUAGCUCACAGACCCAACUCUGAUCCUGCAUUAUUUUGGCUGUGGUGAAGGCCAGCAGCUGCAGCUCCGACACAACCCCUAGCCUGAGAAUCUCCAUAUGCUGCGGGUGUGUCCCUGAAAAGACAAAAAAUAAAAUAAACGAAGCUCCCAGACAACCCAGAGGGAUUCUCAUAUCAGGACCAGUAGCUUCCCCACCCCCCCACGUCUCCCCACACUAGGUCCCUGGGCCAGGAGCAUUUAAAAUGUGCGGCAGGAGUUCCCUGGGGGCUCAGUGUGUUAAGGAUCCAGCGUUGUCACUGCUGUGGCUCUGGUUGCCUCUGUGGCACAGGUUCACUCACUGGCCUGAGAACUUCCACAUGCCACAGAUAUGGGCAAAAAAGAAA
rnacentral:lncRNA from 1 species